AUCCUCCCUCCUCAUGUGGUAGCGUGUGAGUUGCUCCAAAGCUUUGAAAUUAGAUCUCAAAAGUACUUCUCUUUCCUCUCUAAAGAAAGAGUUCAUCCCUCUCUCCUACAGUGUUUGGUGCGCAGUGAAGUAGAGGAUCCGUGCAUCCGAAUCUCACGAAGCAUAUUGAUCGAGGAGCUUCUUCAAUCUUGAUUAUUUUUCACUACGAAUCAAGGUGAGCAUUCAUAAGUAUUAUAAAAAUUUUAAUUAUUAAUUUAUUCUAUCUUUCUGACAUCCG
rnacentral:lncRNA from 1 species